UUGGAAACGAUAGCUAAUACCGCAUAACAAUGGAUGACACAUGUCAUUUAUUUNAAAGGGGCAAUUGCUCCACUACAAGAUGGACCUGCGUUGUAUUAGCUAGUAGGUGAGGUAAUGGCUCACCUAGGCGACGAUACAUAGCCGACCUGAGAGGGUGAUCGGCCACACUGGGACUGAGACACGGCCCAGACUCCUACGGGAGGCAGCAUG
rnacentral:rRNA from 1 species